UGUGUUUUCCCAAAUUAAAUGAAGUGUCUUCUUUCCAUCAAUUAAACGUGAAUCUUGGUUAUUUGAAAUGGAAGAGCGUAUGCGGAAGUAUAGGCAGCUGAGUCCAGAGAGAGCCAAAGUGUGGACUGAGAAAUCACCAAAAUAUGAACAACAACAGCCCAAUCAAAAUGAUGGAAAAGUGCCAGUGGUAUACUAUCUUUGUAGAAAUCAACAACUUGAGCAUCCUCAUUUCAUGGAAGUAACCAUGUCUUCCCCUGAUGGUCUAUACUUGAGAGAUGUAAUCAAGAGGUUUAACGUUUUGAGAGGCAAGGGAAUGGCUUCAUCUUAUUCUUGGUCCUGCAAGAGAAGCUACAAGAAUAGAUUUGUGUGGCAUGAUCUUUCUGAAGAUGAUCUAAUUCUUCCUGCUCGUCCUACUGAAUACGUUCUAAAAGGCUCGGAGCUUUGUGAAGAAUUAAAGUCAGGUCGAUCCAGUCCUGCGAAAAAUGAUAGCUUGUCAAAUCAAAAAGUAUUACCAGAACCUCCACUGUUAAGAAGCCAAGAUGAUUCCUCUUCUCCGUCCAACACGAAUGAAAGAUGUGCAAAGAAUACUUGUGAUGGUGAACAAUCACUUCCUGCUGAAAAGGCAAACAGCGCUAAUACGUAUGAUGGCCUGCCUGAUGCUUCCGUUCAGAUUCAUGAAAAGACAAACACGGCUAAUACAACUCAUGAUGAUAGUUGUAGAAGAUGCAUUUCAACGGAUGAUAGAUCUUGUGCGGUUGAAAAAAACGAAAGAAAUCAGGUUCAGGUUAACAGAAUGAAUGAGUCAGCCGAUAUACGGGUGGAGUCAGACACACUUCCACCAGAUACCUUAAUAUCUCUCAUCAGAUCAGAUGUUAGAAACCUCAGGAAACUUGAUAGUGAAGAGUGUCGCGUUCCAUCAAAGCUAAAGCCUCAUAAUAUGCUUAUGCAACUAAUUUCUUGUGGAUCAAUUUCAGUAAAGGAUCAUAGAUUUGGCUUUAUACAUACGUACAAACCAAGAUUAAAUUUAGGAAAACUUGAUUGCAUUACAAGGAAUAAGAGUUUAAUGGGUCUGAAUUUGGAAGACGAGGAAUAUUUCUGUGCAAGCUGGACGGAGUCUAGUAUCCCCAAGGAAAACCAGUCAUCCUUCAUCACUGCUGAGAGGUUCGUACUUUGGUUACCCUUAUUUGGAGUUUCAUCUGUGUGGAAUUUUUAACUUACUUUCAAUUAGAAAUUGUUACGUCUUGAAAAUCACGAUUAUGUCUUCCCUAGAAAAAAAAUCUAUGGUGCUACCGUCCUUUUUUCUUUCUAUAUCGUAAAAUGAGUUGUACGAUGCAGGACAAAUAGAAAGCCUGAAGAUUCAGUUCAAAGUAAAGAGGGGGCAAGCUCUAGAUGCUCAAAGUGCGUUAGACAUUCCACCACCAAUGUGCCAAAAAAUGAGUCAUGGAGAUGAUCCCAUCUUUCAGAAGGAGAAACACGCAGUUUGCGAAUCGUAAAACCUUUUUGGGGAUAGAAACAGUCCACAAGAAAUGAGAAAGAAAAUGUGGUUAAAAUUGAAGGAGGUCAAGUUCACUAAUUUUCAGAAUUGCUUAGAUUAUAAUAUAUAUGGUC